CGUGUAGGCGGUUUUGCAAGUCAGAUGUGAAAUUCCCAGGCUUAACCUGGGCGCUGCAUCUGAAACUGCAAGACUUGAGUACUGGAGAGGAUAGUGGAAUUCCUAGUGUAGCGGUAAAAUGCGCAGAUAUUAGGAGGAACACCGGUGGUGAAGGCGACUAUCUGGACAGUAACUGACGCUGAGGCGCGAAAGCGUGGGGAGCAAACA
rnacentral:rRNA from 1 species